CCGUCCAACCCUCGGGACGACUGGCGAAAACCCGGCCCCCGACCGCUACGCUGGCCGGGUGCGAUCCCGUCCAGGGCACGCAUAGCCGACAGCCGUCGCAUCCCAGGGAGCAUCUCCAUG
rnacentral:ncRNA from 20 species